rnacentral:rRNA from 1 species
UACGUAGGGUGCGAGCGUUAAUCGGAUUUACUGGGCGUAAAGCGUGCGCAGGCGGCCCGUUAAGACAGGUGUGAAAUCCCUGGGCUCAACCUAGGAAUUGCGCUUGUGACUGGCGGGCUCGAGUACGGUAGAGGGGGGUGGAAUUCCUGGUGUAGCAGUGAAAUGCGUAGAGAUCAGGAGGAACACCGAUGGCGAAGGCAGCCCCCUGGGCCUGUACUGACGCUCAUGCACAAAAGCGUGGGGAGCAAACAGG